rnacentral:rRNA from 1 species
AUACGGAGGGGGCUAGCGUUGUUCGGAAUUACUGGGCGUAAAGCGCGCGUAGGCGGCUUAUCAAGUUAGGCGUGAAAGGCCUGGGCUCAACCCGGGAACUGCGCUUAAUACUGGUAGACUUGAGUCCGGGAGAGGGUGGCGGAAUUCCCAGUGUAGAGGUGAAAUUCGUAGAUAUUGGGAAGAACACCAGUGGCGAAGGCGGCCACCUGGCCCGGUACUGACGCUGAGGUGCGAAAGCGUGGGGAGCAAACAGGAUUAGAAACCCCGGUAGUCC